rnacentral:misc_RNA from 1 species
UUUCCGUAGGUGAACCUGCGGAAGGAUCAUUACAUUUUCACAACAACGAUGGCGUCGUCCUUAGAACCGUCUCCGUGCGGCUCGGGGCGGCGUUUCAUCGGCGGGCACGUCGCGGCUUCCUGUUUACUCAGGAAGUAAUCCCGUCUAGAAUGGACUCACGCGGGGUCGUCUGAAUCCUUAACUUUACGAGAACUCUCCAUACUCCUUCGGUGGGGUGACCUGCCGUUGGAACCAACAAAAACCUUUUUUUUGCAUCUAGUAUUACCUGUUCUGAUACAAACAAUCGUUACAACUUUCAACAAUGGAUCUCUUGGCUCUGGCAUCGAUGAAGAACGCAGC